AAGCCGAGAGUCGAGGGGUGGGGGCUUGCUUUGAACAGGCGACUGGUUACGUACACUACAUACAGGAAUAUCAUGUGACACUAGAUUUGACGUACCAGGCUCUGAACGUACCUCAAGUAGGCCUACCUAUGAACCAUAGAUAACGGCAAAAUAUUGAAGCCAGCAAUAUGAAUUCACCAACACUUGAACCCUUCCGCGAAGUUAUUCAAGAAAUGAAGAUGCAAGGGAAGACAUACAAAGAAAUUUCGACAUUCCUAACUUCCACUGGUGUCCAAAGAGGGUGUUCUAUAGACAACAUAAAGCGGUUUUGUGCCGACAAUAACUUUUUAAAAGGAGUUGUGUCGGCCACUCAUUUGGAAUUGGCAGUGGCCAAAGGUAUACAGGAGACCGGACCCACAUUUGGACGUAAAACGAUGACUGGGUACCUAUCCACCAAGGGUAUUAAUGCGUCUGAGGGUCGAGUUGGGGCUGCGCUAAGAUCAGUCCAGCAACCAAACCACAAAGCACGUUGUCAUGGGGCACGGAACUUAAACCCAUUUCCCUACCAUGCUGAAUACAUGGGACACAAGCUUCACAUGGACCAGAAUGAAAAGUUAGUGAUGUUUGGGGCCACACAUGUCUUGGCCAUUGAUGGCUUGACUUCUAAUAUUGUUGGUCAUUCAACCAUGCCUGUGAAAAAUAACCUCAUAAUUUAUGAGAAUGUUUACAGACCAGCGGUUUUGGAAUAUGGAAUGUGGGAUCAAGUAAGGGUAGACAACGGGAAAAAGUUUUACCUGACUCUAUUUAUCCAACAACAACUGUCAGGUUACAGAAACAACCUGGGGGGUAUUCCAAGUAGCAGAAUCACAGAAUUGAGCGGAUUUGGCCUGAAAUGAACAACAGGGUCAACUACCCAAUAAAGACAGCUUUAGUCAAUCUACUUGACCAAGAGCGGAUCAACAUGGAAGACAGUACAGUGAGGUUCUGUGUUUCUAAUCUGACAUGUCAGAUUGCCAGCAUUGGGAUCAACAGAGUUGUGGACUCAUGGAAUGCCCAUAGAAUUCCAGGCAGAGGAGUUCCAAACAUCUUGGCACAACAUGGCUGUGUCAAGAAGGUCACAAAGGAUCUCCUACCCUGUGCCUCAUACCAGAUACCAGAUAGUCAUUGACCAGAUCCUCAACAUUUGGCAUCAACCCGUUUCGAAAUGCAGAAGAGCAAGCCCAAGUGGAGAGACACUUUGAAGAACAGUUUCCAGACAUGACAGUCAUUUAUGACAAUGUAAUAAACAAUACAUAUACACCCUUCCAGGAUGCUCUUAUGCAUCUGAUCCAUCUUACUGUAAACCUAUGAAAAGAAAACUUCCUCUUUCCCAGUGACAAACAACUGCACGCAUACACACACACACAAACGCUUAACACCUUUAGCAUCUCUUGUUGCCCUAUUAAGCGUUGACAUAUACAGUUUGUAUAUAAAAAAGCUCCAAGUUUAACGCCAUGUUGCCCUUUUGCAUUUGUCUGUAAUAAAAUUGAUUUGAAACCUGAAAUGACCCUUCUUCCGAAAUGACAUUUUUUAUAAAGUUUAAGUGCAUGAAUGUUUGUUUGGAUUUCAGAGUUCUUAAAUGAAUGUAGUAUAACUAACACAUGUAUCUGGAUAUAUUUAAAAUACAGUAUUUCAUGCUGAAAGAGAAAGUACAGUUAGGUGUUGAAAUGUAUUUGACUUUGUAUGGUACUUGAAUGUUGCAUCCCAAAGGAACAGAGAAAAGUACACCAUGUGUGUGCUAGUUAGUUGUGCAACCACUCACUAACGGCAGCUAAGGCCGUGUGGAGUGAAACCUAUACACAAAGGGAGCUCUACUGCAACAGGAUUGGUGACCACUAGUCUUAAGGAAUAAAAAGGUCAGAAUCCUUGAGUGACCCAGUGAGAGCCCCAACCUAUAUCCAAUGAAAGAUGUGUGGCAUGUCUUGAAGAUUGCUCUCCAUUAAAACUACCCAUGCAACUUGACACAGCUUUUGUAUUAUUAAUAGUGCAUGUUACGUUCUCCAGUGUUGUGUUUGUGGUAGUGUGUUUGUGUUUCCCCAAGGUUCCCUCGCUGAUUGAAGCGCUGGCUCCUCCCCCCCCUCAUCAGUGACUGCAGCUGGAGUCACGCGUAUAAAGACCGCCGCAUAACGCUUCUCGGGUCUCUUUUUGUCUUGGGAGAGCUGCCCGUUGACUGUGGUCUGUUUGGUUGGGUUGCGCUAUUUGUUUGUAUUGGACUAUUCUGCUCUGUGUUGCGCUGUGCGCUCUGUUUUGUGCGAUCUGUGUAUAUACUAAUUAUUGUUCUUCUGUUCCCAGGGGGAAGGGGAAAGCGCCUUGGGAGUGUUAGGCAAGAGGCCCAUGGGAACACAUCACCCGUAGCUGAAACCUUGUUAAACACACUAGGGAAGACCUGGGCGGACCACCCCCUGUGUUUCUGGUUAGCGCCGGCUGGCGUUUGAGUUAGGAGUGUGACUUAUUUUACUUUCAUGGUUUUGGUUCCGUACAGCCCUUUCCCCCCCACUACCGUGUUUGGCAAAAUAA